rnacentral:lncRNA from 1 species
CCUACUUUCCUUCCCUUUAAAGGCACCGUUGCUUGAGAAGAAAGGCAGAGAUUAAGAGAUAGAAAUUUCUAAAAAAAUAACAAACGGCUGAAAUUUCAAGAAAAAUAUUGUUCCAUUGGAAUUUCUGCUUUGAACUUUGAAGUUUUGUUUCAUCUUCUGAACAAUAGCUGAUUCUAAUAAGGUAUAAAAUGGUUUAAAGUUGGGUAGUGAAAUAUUUGGUUUAAGUUGUUGGAUUUGUUUAUUUCUUCUGGUUUGAUUUCAUUGUUGAUUUUAGUUGAAUCUGGACUGGGGUUGUUCUGCUUCUAGUGCUGAUUUAUGCACUUGAUACUGCUGAUUCCUUACAUUUUCUUUUGCCUUUUCAUUCCCAGGUACAUGUCUCCUGAAACUCUAGAUAUUUUGGUGAAGCUUUGAGUUGAACAAUAAAAUGAGAAAGAAGGACUGUAAAGCAUAACUUCAGUUGUUUUCUGAUUCAAUCAUGUUUUACUUUAAAUUUUUUUCUUACUUGGCAUGUUGUACUGUUUAGUUGAUCUUUGUGUUAACUAGAUAAGUUUUUGGCAUGUUGUAUUUGAUUUGGGACUAUUAUAAGACUGAAGGGACAAUCUAUUAUCUGAGUUAAAGGUCAGUCCGUAUAUGCAAUCUUGAGGAUUUCUUUAAUGUAAAUGGUGGUGGGUGUAGCCUGCUAAAGUUCAAUUAAAUUUUGGUAGCAUGUUAGUUUGAUAAUGUACCUAUAUAAUGGUUGAGUUGAACGUUUUCUUGAAUUUCGUGGGUGAUUAAGGGUAAGGGGUAAUCCAGAAUAAUCAACUGGUUGUUCGAUUCAAAUGUCUAGCUAAUGGAUUAAUGUUCAGAAGCAUCAAUUUAUUUGGUAUUGAUUAUGGGCAUGCUCAAAUUAGAUUGGUUGGUUGUAAAUCAGAAUGUUUAGCUUAAUGGUAUAAAAUUCGGAGGACUAAAAGUCAGUUGCAUUUCCUGUUUCAUAUGUUUAUUAACUUAAUUGCAAUUAGUAAUUGUGCAUGAAUUGGUUCUGAGGUUUGGCUUAAUAUUGGCCCAGUUAAUAAACUUAAAACUGGAAGGUAAAUUGAGAUUAGAUUGGAUCUUGCUUAAUGCGAUGUUCUUCGUGCCUGGAGACUCAAUCUCGAGUCCAGCACUUGAUGAUGUGACGAUUCGACCCGUCGUCUUAUAUGUUGCCAACCCGUUUUUCCUAUCUUAUGCUUCUUCAUGUUUUAUUAUCUAUGUUAGGUAAUUUUGGGUUGAUUCGGAUUGAGUUCAGUAGGAAAUGAGACACUUAGUCACUAUAAGGAAGGAUUGGUUUGGAAAAGUCAAUAGAAUGUUGACUUGUGAGUUAGAGGGCUCGGAUGUGAUUUUCAAUGAUUCAGUUAGCCUUGGGGGAUGAUUUGAGACUUAAGAGCGUGAUCGGAAGUGAUUUUGGAGGUUCAGUGUAGAAGUUAGCCUAUUUUAGUGAAGUUAGUAUUUUAGCGAAUUCUGGUUGGUAGGUGAGCUUUUGAUCCGAGGGUCGGAAUGGAAUUUCGAGAAAUGCAUUAGCUUCAUUAGGUGAUUUGGGAUGUGUUUCCAAAAUUUUAGUUGAUUCGGAGGUGAUUAGGUCGGAUUUUUGAUCGAAUGUGAGUUUCAGAAGAGUUUGAAGAACUUAGGCUUGAAUCCGUCAUGAAUUGAUGGUUUUAGUGUUGUUGGAUAUGUUUUUGUGAUUGGAACAAGUUCGUAUGAUGUUUUAGGAUGGCAUGACACUUUUGGUCGAGGUCCCGGGACCCUUAGGAUGAUUUCGGAUAGCUAUCGGAGAGUUUCGGACUUUGGGAGUUUGCAGAAAAUGCACAAUAGUUGCAGACCAAAAUUUGGUCUUCGCGUUCGCAGGGUUUGGUCCGCGUUCGCGGAGGGGUGAGUUCCAGUACAUCGCAUUCGCGGUGGGGACCUCACGAUCACGUAGAAGGGAAUUUGGGUCCUGAGUCCUUUAUUCUCCGCGUUCGUGUCAAGGCCAACGCGUUCGCGGAAGGCUCGGAGGGUGUGCAUCGCGAUCGUGUGAAUGAUCCCACGUUCGCAUAGCAUGAUCAGCGGAAGCAUCGCGUUUGCGGGUUCGUCACCGCAUUCGCAAAGAGGAAAAAUAUGGGAGUUUAAGAAUGUGCUUCGUGAUCGCGAGCCUCGAGCCGCAAUCGCGUAGGUUAAAAUCUGGGCUGACAGAAGGUUUUUAAUAUCAUUUCAUCUGCGACCUUGGGGUUAUUUCCUCCAUUGUUGGGCAACCUUGGGAGCUCUUAUCGAGAAUUAAAGAGGGGUUUCGACCAAGAUUGAUUAGAAGUGAGUUUUAUGACUUGGAAACAUCAUUUUAUGGUAGAAUCAACAUGUAAAUCCAUGGGAAUUUGAGUAAAAGAGGAAGAACUAGGGCUUGACUUUCUAAAUGAGAAAUGGGAUUUGGGGGAGAAUUUAAGCUCGGAAAUUUUGUAUUUUGACAUGUAUAGACUCGUGGCGAGGUAGGGAACUUAUGAGCGUAAACUUUUUUGAGUUUCGAGAAGUGGGCUCGGGGCUCGAGUUUUGCAAAUUUCCGGAAUUCUUGUUGUUUUUCAAUUAGUUUGAUUGGGUUUUGUUCCCUUGGUAUAUUGUGACGUAUUCAUUGUGGUUUUUUUCAGAUUCGACGUGUGAGGAGGUUGAUUUGAGAAGAAAAGGCAUUGCGAGCUAGAGUUUGGCCGGCUUGAGGUGAGUAGUAGAUGUAAAUGCUGUUAUGAGGGAUUGAAACCCAGUCUUUUAAUCGUAACACUAUAUUGAGGCGUGACACGUAUUCUAUGACGAGUGCGGGGUCGUUUGAUAUUGGAGAUUGUGACUUGGUCCAUCCCGAGUGAUAUUUCUACUACAUUGGUGAUUGAGGCAUAUACUUUAUUAUCAUGACUUGGGGCUUGUUGCCAUUUCUGGGGCCUUGUGCCGACCUGUAGAAUCCAUAGGGGAUCUUUAUUAGUUUUCCUCAGUUAUUUGUAUAAAUUAUAAUCUAAGUCAUGUUUUCCACUGUUUAAAUAUAAUAAGAACUAGGUUUUUAAACAUAAAUCAUAAAUGAAAAUAUUAUGAGGGCUGAGAUCCCUACGGUAUGUUAUGCCCGACCGGCUGUGAAUUUAUUUGACUGAAAUGGGUUGAGGACAAAUAAUGAGGAUAUUUUCCUAUGAUUUGGAUUGGGCUACGCGCCGUGGCAGUGUUAUACUAAUUAUUGAGGACGAGAGCCUAAUUGAUGCCAUGAGAUGGCUGAUUUUACGCUUGGACUGUAGGAGCCCCUCCGGAGUCUGUACACACCCCCAGUUAGCAACGUCGAUGAUAAAUAAAUGGAGUGGGAUGCACGCCGCAGCGGGUACUAGAGUGUACCAUUAUAUGUGUUGCAUCUUCUCAUCCAUUAUUUCGUUAAUUGUAUCAUUGGUUUACUGUUAUCACCGAUAUUGAUCUAAACUGCUAGAUAUAGGUUACCUUGUGCAUUUAUAUGAUUUCUUACUUUCAGUCUAUAUUUAUGUUUAUUACUCACUGGGUCAGAGUACUCACUUUACUCUCUGCACCUUGCGAGAAGAUCUAGGUUCUACCUUAGCUGUGAGGCUUGAUCAGCUGCGUAGAGACACUUCAGGGAGUAUCGAGGCAAGUGCACGGCGUCCACAUCCUUAGAUUUCUCCCCUCUAUCCUUAUCCUUUAUUUCCGCAUUUCAGCUUCUAGUCAGACUUUUUAGUAGGUCGAAACUCUGUAUUUAGAUGCUCAUGUCACCGGGUCAUUUGGGGCUAUUUUCAGUACUCUGUUAAAUUUCUGCACUUUUUAUUUAGUAUUUUCUAGAUUUUAAUAUAAUGACUUAGUACUAUUUUCCUGCGUCGCAUAUCAUUAAUCUGCUUUAGUUUAGGGAUAUAUUGUAAAAAGGUCUGGCUUUCCUAGCAAUAUGUUGGGCACCAUCAUGACGGGGUUGGGGUCGUGACAAGUUGGUAUUAGAGCCUAGGUUACUUGGUCUCGCGAGUCAUGAGCCGGUUUAGUAGAAUCUUUCGGAUCUGUACGGAGACAUCCGUACUUAUCCUAGGGAGGCUGCAGAACCUUUAGGAAAACUUUAUAUUCUUGGAAUUCUUAUCGUGCGAUUUUGUUGAUCCGAGCACUAAAUUUCUGUUAUUCUAUUCUCUUAUAGAUGGCGAGAACUCGCACUACCGGACGAGGGAGACAACCACCAGUACCACCUACUGAGGCCACCAGAGGUCGUUGGUACGCUCGUGGUCGUGGUAUAAGCAGAGCCGCGAGGGCAGCACCUGUUGACCCACUAGUUGCCCGGCUCAGGAUCAGGCUCUAGCUGUAGAGAUUCUAGCAGCACCAACUCAAGCACCAGUUGUGCCUAUUGUGAUUCCGUGUCUUCCGGAGGCCCUAGCUCAGAUUCUAUCAGUUUGCACUGGCCUUUCUUAGGCACUCUCAGCCACUACUGCAACAGCGACUUCACAGGCUGGGGGAGGCAAUCAGACCCCCACUGCUCGCACACCUGAGUAUGCAAUGAUUGCAGACACCAGAGGCACCACAAGCUCAGCGAGUUGCACUAGGUCAGCCGGGUGUAUCAUUUCAGGACAUUGCGGUACUAGCUAUGCCAGACAAUGAGCAGCGUCAUCUUGAGAGAUUUGGUAUUCGCUCACCUUCUACUUUCAGUGGUAUUCAGGGGAAGGAUGCCUAGGGUUUUAUCGACAAGUGUCGGGGUAUGCUUCAGACAUAAGGG